rnacentral:lncRNA from 1 species
AUGAUUCUCAAUUGCUGCAGAUGUUUAAAGGCUGAAGUUUUGGAGGUAGUGCUUAACACUACGGCUCUUUGUCCCCCUGAUGGAAAAAUCCAGAUGGAAAGAAGUGUGGUUCACAGGGAAACGAUCAUACAUUCAAGAAAUGCAAGAUCUACAAAUCAGACAUUUUGCUCCGGGAUAACCACUGAACCACUGCUACUAGAUCAACUGGUAGAGCUGGAAGAAUUAGGCAAGCUUUCAACUAUGCAAAAAGGGCUAUAUUUUUUUCCAAUCAUGCCAACUGAUAUAAUUAUACACUGUCUUUACCGACAACCCUUGCCUUAGACCAGCACAGCAACACUGCUGUUACUGAAACGCUGUGAUUUUUCAUGUUGCCAGAAGAUGGCAGAAGAAAGCAAUCUUGAAUGAUUUAAAAAUGCACAGUAUACUCAUGAAUGGCAUUUAAAGGGAGCUGUUAUGAUACACAAGAAACUGCACUUGUUGGAUGGAAGAAAAAUGUGAAAUGUACUGGAUGAAUUAAAUUGGUAUUGACCUGGGUGUAUACAUCAAAUGAUCUACACUGUAUCCUUUCCCAUGCAGGUUUUCUGUAUCAGAAAAGCCUGUAACAGUGUUGAUUUCUCCUAUGCACAGUGCAGUUGGCCUGGUUUUCUUCCACUGGCAAAAUCUGUUCUACAAACCUGUCCAGGACAUCCACCAAUCACCCAAAGUAAAAAACAGGGUGAUUCUUUUAGUCUUUUAUUCUCUGUCUCUCCAAAUAUGUUUUUCUUCCCUUUCCCACGUGGCAGGAAAAGAGCCAAGGUAGUGCAAACAUCCCCUCCUCCAGCUUUCAGGAAGAGAGGGGGAUGCAAAGGGA